rnacentral:rRNA from 1 species
GAUUUAGGCCUGCUAGUCGCACGAGUUCAGACUCGUGGCGAAUAGCUCAGUAACACGUGGCCAAACUACCCUUCGGAACACAAUACCCUCGGGAAACUGAGGCUAAUAGUGUAUACCAUACCACCACUGGAAUGAGUGGUAUGCCAAACGCUCCGGCGCCGAAGGAUGUGGCUGCGGCCGAUUAGGUAGACGGUGGGGUAACGGCCCACCGUGCCAAUAAUCGGUAUGGGUCAUGAGAGUGAGAACCCAGAGACGGAAUCUGAGACAAGAUUCCGGGCCCUACGGGGCGCAGCAGGCGCGAAACCUUUACACUGCACGACAGUGCGAUAGGGGGAUCCCAAGUGCACAGGCAUAGCGCCUGUGCUUUUCGGUACCCUAAGGCGGUACCAGAAUAAGGGCUGGGCAAGACCGGUGCCAGCCGCCGCGGUAAUACCGGCAGCCCAAGUGAUGGCCGAUCUUAUUGGGCCUAAAGCGUCCGUAGCUGGCCGCGCAAGUCCAUCGGGAAAUCCACCUGCUCAACAGGUGGGCGCCCGGUAGAAACUGCGCGGCUUGGGACCGGAAGGCGCGACGGGUACGUCCGGGGUAGGAGUGAAAUCCCGUAAUCCUGGACGGACCGCCGAUGGCGAAAGCACGUCGCGAGAACGGAUCCGACAGUGAGGGACGAAAGCCAGGGUCUCGAACCGGAUUAGAUACCCGGGUAGUCCUGGCCGUAAACAAUGUCUGCUAGGUGUGGCUCCCACUACGAGUGGGUGCUGUGCCGCAGGGAAGCCGCUAAGCAGACCGCCUGGGAAGUACGUCCGCAAGGAUGAAACUUAAGGAAUUGGCGGGGGAGCACUACAACCGGAGGAGCCUGCGGUUUAAUUGGACUCAACGCCGGACAUCUCAUCAGCAUCGACUGUAGUAAUGACGAUCAGGUUGAUGAUCCUUC